rnacentral:rRNA from 1 species
UGGGGAAUAUUGCACAAUGGGCGCAAGCCUGAUGCAGCCAUGCCGCGUGUGUGAAGAAGGCCUUCGGGUUGUAAAGCACUUUCAGCGGGGAGGAAGGCGAUAAGGUUAAUAACCUCAUCGAUUGACGUUACCCGCAGAAGAAGCACCGGCUAACUCCGUGCCAGCAGCCGCGGUAAUACGGGGGGUGCAAGCGUUAAUCGGAAUUACUGGGCGUAAAGCGCACGCAGGCGGUCUGUCAAGUCGGAUGUGAAAUCCCCGGGCUCAACCUGGGAACUGCAUUCGAAACUGGCAGGCUAGAGUCUUGUAGAGGGGGGUAGAAUUCCAGGUGUAGCGGUGAAAUGCGUAGAGAUCUGGAGGAAUACCGGUGGCGAAGGCGGCCCCCUGGACAAAGACUGACGCUCAGGUGCGAAAGCGUGGGGAGCAAACAGG